AUGACAUCAGCUCCACGUUUCAGAUGACAACUGAGGCCAAGGACAGAGAGCUCCCUGGUGACAGAGCCACAACUCAGACUCAGGAGCGAAGGGCUGGAGGCCAGCGUGAGGUCGUCCUGGGACCUGACAGCUGAGAGUAAAAUCGAAGCCACACCCGAGAUGGAGAAAACCGCACCAGUUUGUGCAACACCGGUGUGUUCAGCGUGGCCCAGCCCUCCGUUGGGGGACUUCCAGUCCCCCCCUUAGGAGGGGCUCCUUUUAGUAAUGACAACACCCAGCGUUUAACAAUGGCUUCCUCUGUGCCAAAUACUAUGCUUGAUCUCACGUACUCCCGUGGUGUCCCUGUAAGAUUGUUCUGUAUUAUUUGCAUUUUAGGCGGGGAAACUGAGGCACAGAAAGGCAAGUGGGGACAACUGAAUUGGAACUCAGUCUUGCCAAGGUUUGAACCAUUGUGCUGAACUGAAAUUAUGACCUCUCCACGCAGAAGACAAGCCAACAAAGGUCACAGAAUGGCACCGUGGUCCAGUCCAGGACGGAGAGGGUGGCAUGUCGCUUCAUAGCUCAGCAGACACCUCGUCCAGGGAGCACUCCAGGCCCCAGACUGCGAGCGGCUCAUGGGAGGGACCUUGUCUCAACUGUUCCAGCACCCCAAGGCCUAGCACAGUGCCUGGCACACAGGGGAUGCCCCACAGGCCAAAUGAAAGGCUUAGAAAUGAAUCUCGUUGACUCAGUCGGCCUGGCUUGGCUCAGUCAUCCUUGAACCAACAUCUAUGGCAAAGGGGUUACCUGAUGAAGUGGGUGGUGGAUCGUGUCAUUGCUCUCGGCUCUUCCUUCUCCUGCGCGUCAGAGGAUCAUACAUCCCCUCCCACGCCCCCUGACUUACAGUGCCUCCCCUCCCCACCGACCUUGAGCUCGGCAUGGGACUUGCUCUGGUCAAUGGCAUGUGAGCAGAUGUGAUGGAUGCCACGUCUGAGCAGAAGCGCUAAGAGCUUUAACAUUUUCCACCAGCUCUCUUCUUCUUCUCCCUCUGCCUCUAGAAGGGGCUGUCACAAAUAGAGCCUGGAUCCAAAAAUAAAGAAGACACCUGAAAAUAGAUGCUGUUGUAA
rnacentral:lncRNA from 1 species